UGAAUAGUGAUACCAAAUUCUAU
rnacentral:siRNA from 1 species